ACAGCUAACUUUUUAAAGCGGAUCAGCGACUUGCAGAGAGGGAACUCACUGCAAACAGACCGAUCUGUCCAACCAUCUCCAAAAGGACAAAGGAAGACCCAGAACCUGGAUGAUUUACGUUCUACUUCAUUUCCCAGUGACACUUGGAGCUCUGAGACAGAUAAACUGAUACAACGUGGAGCUGCCUGAGCCCCUCCUGGACCAUGCUUCAAAUGCAGCAGAAGGACAUUGGGCAGGAGAGUGCCUCAUCCUGGUGUUGCUUUGGGGCCUUGCCCCAGGGCUACUGGACUGUCCUAGCCACCAGAGAGUGGUCUAACAUGUGGGCAUUCACCAGUGAUAAAGUUGUCUUGGUUAAAACACCUGGCACCAGCUUCUACAUGGACAUCAACUAUCAUCCUGUCGACCUUCCUAAACCCCAGGACAGCGCCCCCUUCCAGCAGGAAGUAGUAGAAGAAAGAAAAACUCUGCCCUUUUUCCUAAUAAUAUAAAAAUGGGAAUGAAAGGAUUUUGCCCUAAAUGAGAUGCUGUAGCAGUGGGAGGCGCUGGGAGGCAAAAAGUCAUCUUCCCUGCCCCUAAGCAAUUUUUUUUUGUCUUUUUGAGACAGGAUCUCACUAUGCAGUUCAGGCUGGCCUUGAGCUCACUUUGUAGCCCAGGCUGGUCUUGAACUCGCAACGAUCCUCCUGCCUCAGCCUCCCGAGUGCUGGGAUUACAGACGUGAGCCACACGCCUGGAAACCCCUAAGAAAUUUAUCUGUGGCACAAAAUGAAUUACAAUGGGCUACCUGUGCAUCAGUAAUGCCCCUUAGGCUCCCCCAAACCUAAGCUAUGUGUAUGCCCCCACUCCACAUGUCUGGCAGAGAGAAUGCCAGACAUCAGUGGUCGGGGUGUUCUCUCUCUGUAUUCUUAAAAUAAAGGCCACUUUACUUUA